CCUACGGGUGGCUGCAGUGGGGAAUAUUGGACAAUGGGCGAAAGCCUGAUCCAGCCAUGCCGCGUGUGUGAAGAAGGCCUUCGGGUUGUAAAGCACUUUCAGUGGGGAAGAAAGCCUUGGGGCUAAUACCCUCGAGGAAGGACAUCACCCACAGAAGAAGCACCGGCUAACUCCGUGCCAGCAGCCGCGGUAAUACGGAGGGUGCGAGCGUUAAUCGGAAUUACUGGGCGUAAAGCGCGCGUAGGCGGUCUGAUAAGCCGGUUGUGUAAGCCCCGGGCUCAACCUGGGAACGGCAUCCGGAACUGUCAGGCUAGAGUGCAGGAGAGGAAGGUAGAAUUCCCGGUGUAGCGGUGAAAUGCGUAGAGAUCGGGAGGAAUACCAGUGGCGAAGGCGGCCUUCUGGACUGACACUGACGCUGAGGUGCGAAAGCGUGGGUAGCAAACAGGAUUAGAUACCCGGGUAGUC
rnacentral:rRNA from 1 species